CAAUUAAUGAGAGAUCUGAAGCUCAGAGAAGUUAAGUAUAUUGUGUAAGGUCACACAGCUAGGCAGUGGCUAAGCUAAGGUUUGAAUUUGCAAAAGUACAAAGAACUCUGGAGUCCUCCUAGAGGAUAGGAGAGGAAAAGGAACUCCUUAAAUAAGACCAGGCUAUUCAUUCUAUCAAGCUUGUUAUAUGGAAUUGCAAGAUGACUUAGUAUAGCUUCCAAAUGACAGAGCACACUUGAUUCAGGAACACAGAUUUGGGAGUCAGGCAUACUUGCCAGCAUUUGGCACAGUACAUUCAUUAAGUGGAUGGCAGACCUAUUCUUAGCAUUUCAUCUUUCCUCUAAAUGUCCAGCGUAGCCUAGUGCCAGAAAUUUUCUGAGCUUCUCCUUCCUCAGUAUUAAUCCAAUUCAACAAACAUUGCCCGAGCACCUAUCCCUGCCAGGAAUUGUGUGGGAGCUGCAGAUUAGGUGCUUCCUUCCCUCGAAUAUCAGACUCCAGGUUCUUCCACUUUUGGACUCUUGGACUUACACUAGUGAUUUGCCAGGGGCUCUUGGGCCUUCAGCCAUAGACUUCCCUACUUUUGAUGUUUUGGGACUCUGACUGGCAUCCUGGCUCCUCAGCUUUCAGAUGGCCUCUUGUGGGACUUUACCUUGUAAUCGUGUGAGUCAAUUCUCCUAAUAAAUUAUAUACUAUUAGUUCUGUCCCUCUAGAGAAUGCUGACUAAUACAUCCCCCAACACCUAUGUUGCCCUACCCUAAUGAGGCUCGACACUACUCUCAGCUGUCUGCCUGCAAGAGUCAGGACUCUUUGGUUUCAAGUGACAUAAACACAACUCAAACUAUCUUGAGGGGGAAAAAAAAGGAAUGCAUUGACUUGUAAUAUCUAAGAAAGGGCUAUGUAGAGCAUUCAGGAGACACAGGGCUGCUCAGAAUACAAAGCCUUCUUUCGGGAAAUGCUCCUUCAAGCCACAUCAUUUCUGGAAAGGACUACCAAUCACACGCUACUUCUCUCUGGCCAAGAUGAUUAGUCCAAGACAGACAUUGUGGCUGACGCUGAUGGUGCCUGUCUAACCUGCACAGCGGGCAAGCUAGAAGUGCUGUGGAGUUAACUAAUGCUCCCUGAGCAACAACCAACCAAUGAGGGCAGGAGUUGAUGCAUAAAUACUCCAGCGUCUUACUCCUCAAUGGGUGCAUAUUGGGGCUGGGACUUGGAACAAAAUUUAAGAGAACACCAAAAAAACUCCAUAAUCAAGAUAAAUCAGGUUCUGAUGCAAUAUGUUGAAAAAUCAAAAUUAAUGCAAAAAUUCAGUGUGUAUAAAAUACUAACAUUUUAAAUAAAAUCAGUACUGAUAUUUCUGAUUUUUCCUUUUGCCUUAUGCUCUAAUAUGGCUCAGCUGGGCAUUUGUGUGUUUCUUUUAACUGCUUGUUUGCAAGUUCAGUAGAAAACGAAAGUGGAAGCAGCCUUGAACAGAGGCUGAGAUGUCCUCCUUGUCAGGCUUCUAACUGGGUCAACCUGAGUGCUGCUCCAGCUCAGGGUACUAUGCCUGGUAAGUGCUGCCCAGAGCUCCUUGGGAGGGGCAAGGCAAGAGACAUGUGAGCACAGUCUGAGGGACAUAUGGGCAGUUUAUUCUUUGAUGUCCUUGGAAGAGUGGUCAUAAUUUGCGUGAUAUAAGCCAACAACCAAGAUAGAUAAGCCUCAGGAGAGCUAAGGUCAUUUCAACUAACAAAUCACUUGCUCCAUAGUGGAGAAAGCAAACUACAGAUCCAUACACAAACAUGGUAAGUUCAUGGGAAAAGAUUUUAAGUCAGUUCUCUCUCUCCCUGUCCUUUACAUCUCUCUCUCUUUCUCUCUGUCAUUUACAUCUGGGGGAACCUUUGCCAGGUAACUGAAUAACACAAAGCAGCAUCUAGGAGAAUGGCUUCUUUCUUAAGCACACCCAACAUGAUGAGAUUACCUAGAGAUGAGUGCUUCUUUUGUGGGGAGAAUUUGAUCUGGAGUGGAGGUAAGCAUGAAUCCCGGCUUUCCAGGGAUCACAACAUUUGAGAAACCCAGAAGAAUCAACAUGAUGGAAAUGGUGCCAAAUUCUUUUGCCUCUUGCUUUUUAACAAAAAGAGAAAGAAAGAAGGAGAGAGGAGAGAGUGAACCUGCUAAUAAAAUGUGCAUCUAAACGCUUUCCAUUUUAUAAAAUUUGGACUUCCUGAAUUCUGAAACCCCUCUGGCUGCAAUCAUUUCUUUGUAGCUUUGUGGACCCAUGCUUUCUUUCCGGAGCGGACUCUCAACAGGAGUUUGAUGACACCAAGGUUGCUUUACAAUUCACAAAUGCAAUUAGUUUAUCUGUUUCUAAAUGUAUUUGUCUGGGCAUUCAUUUAACAGAUACUUACAGCAUGCCUGCUGUGUACUAAGUCCCAUUUUAGGCGCUGUAAGCAGAGUGAGCCAAAUACAUGUUUUCCUGGCCCACAUAAAGCUUAUAGUCUAAGAGAAAUAAUAACAGGGGAAAAUAAAAGGACAACAUAUUUUCACAAUAGUCAGAUGGCCUUGGGAAUGCCACAGAGUCUAGAACCCUCAAAUAGGAGAAUAUAAAGUUGUCACCAGGGGCAACAGGAAUGGCCCCUGAAAAAAUUAGGCCAGAGGAGCAGCUUUGGAGUUUAUUUUCUCCAAGGUUUUCUGGCACUAUUUUUCGUGAACGUUAAAGAAAUAUGUACUUAUAGUAAAAGAUUUGGAAAGCUUUUAUUUAAAAAAAAUUUUUGGCCAGGUGAAGUGGCUCACGCCUGUGAUCCCAACACUUUGUGGGG
rnacentral:lncRNA from 1 species